AUUUGGGGAUAUAAAAUGAAGGAUACAAGCACUUUUGUGUUCAUCUCGUCAACAUCAUCAGCUUCACGACACAUUAAUCCUCGUAGUGUUCUAGUCACUAGCAAACAAGAGAGAGCUUUUGUGUCUCAAUCCUACCUCAAAAGAAUUCCUCAUCCUCAUCCCUCGCACCUCUCUACCGGUAGCGCGAGCCACACAGCGCAGCCAUGGCCAGCGACGAUCAGCGGGGGCUACAUUAUGAACAAACGUUGUGGUUUGCAGAAGAGGAUGUCUUCCUUAAUUGACACCCCAUAAACGUAACGGACAUAUUCCAGGAGAUGUGCCAGGCCGCCAUGUCUGUUGACUCAUCCAGCUGUAACGCAUAUACUUCACUGGCUUGUAUGCAAA
ensembl:lncRNA